rnacentral:tRNA from 1 species
GCCCCACUGGUGAAAUUGGCAAACACAUCAGGUUUAAGCCCUGACGCUUCGGCUUACAGGUUCGAGUCCUGUGUGGGGUA